rnacentral:rRNA from 1 species
CAGUAGCCGCGGUAAAACGAGGGGAGCUAGCGUUGUUCGGAAUUACUGGGCGUAAAGCGCGCGUAGGCGGCUUUUUAAGUCAGAGGUGAAAGCCCGGGGCUCAACCCCGGAAUUGCCUUUGAAACUGGAAAGCUAGAAUCUUGGAGAGGUCAGUGGAAUUCCGAGUGUAGAGGUGAAAUUCGUAGAUAUUCGGAAGAACACCAGUGGCGAAGGCGACUGACUGGACAAGUAUUGACGCUGAGGUGCGAAAGCGUGGGGAGCAAACAGGAUUAGAGACCCCUGUAGUCCCUGUCUCUUAUAC